rnacentral:misc_RNA from 1 species
GUAUUGUAUUGCGUUAAACGCGACAAACAUUCCAUGAGACUUUAUGGCAGUGUGUGUGUGUAAAUACGUAGAACCACAGCAAGGGGACAAAGUCACCCAGGCCAUAGAACUACAGAGGGUGCACAGGUGUGGGUGGAUGUGUAAACAGAGUGUGCACGUGACCCCGGCCUGGGGACCAGCAACAACUCGUGUUGACAAUUCGGUAAUGAUCCUUCCGCAGGUUCACCUACGGAAA